CAAGUAGGCAUCCAAGGAGCUAAUGGAGGAAGGAGCAGAAGGAUGAGGAGUCCUACCGGGCUCAAAGGAUGCGGUUUUUAGUUUCAAAGGUGACAAGAGCCGAGGUCCGGAUGGCUUCUCUAUGUAUUUCUUCCAGCACUUCUGGGAUUUGGUGAAGGGGGACAUUCUCUCUCUCUUUCAGCAACUUUUUGACUAGAAUCUGGAUUUGGAUGGAUUGAAUUGUGCCAUCUUGACACUUAUCCCCA
rnacentral:lncRNA from 1 species